GCCCAGACUCCUACGGGAGGCAGCAGUGGGGAAUAUUGCACAAUGGGGGAACCCUGAUGCAGCGACGCCGCGUGGGCGAGGAAGUAUUUCGGUAUGUAAAGCCCUAUCGGCAGGGAAGAAGAAAUGACGGUACCUGAAUAAGAAGCACCGGCUAAAUACGUGCCAGCAGCCGCGGGAAUACGUAUGGUGCAAGCGUUAUCCGGAUUUACUGGGCGUAAAGGGAGCGCAGGCGGCGCGCCAAGUCUGAUGUGAAACCCCGGGGCUCAACCCCGGGCAUGCAUUGGAAACUGGCGGGCUGGAGUGCCGGAGAGGUAAGCGGAAUUCCUAGUGUAGCGGUGAAAUGCGUAGAUAUUAGGAGGAACACCAGUGGCGAAGGCGGCUUACUGGACGGCAACUGACGCUGAGGCUCGAAAGCGUGGGGAGCAAACAGGAUUAGAUACCCUAGUA
rnacentral:rRNA from 1 species